ACCGGGCGGUAAUGAGAGCGCACAAGGAUGUCUGCAGGAGGCAUGCUUUCAUAGGCUGUCCUGGGUCCUCGUAACCAUGGAAAUAAGUGCCAGCGUGGAGUCACGCACUUGCAUGGAUGUGCCGCUCACCGCUCUGCCCACAACCAAUCCAUCCGCUCCUCAAGAAUGAGGGGACUCCCAGCAGCAGCUCUGCAGGAGCCAGGAAAAAUCAAUGAGCCACCGAGAAUGGCUUUGACUUGAGAGAAAAGGAGACUUCUCCUCAAUGCAGAGGGUAAAUGUUAGCAUUAAACUGUUUCACACUGUUGACUUUUCUCCAUCACAUUUCCCUGGAUUCAGGUGUGGCCAUGAGGGCAGCAGGAGAGCUGUGAGGAUAGAGCUGUGCAGGAUGCUGGGGAGGGAAAAGGGAAAGUCACAUCCACCGAGGGAGAACACAGAAGAGAAAGAAGCAAAAAAGAAGCAAAAGACGGCAUUUCAUCCAGACAGGAAACUUUGGAGGAAAAGAAACUUUGGAUCACAAAUUUUAGAGGUGCUUGUGAGGAUGGAGAGACCCUGUGGGGGUUUGUGGACUCUGCUGGUGACCAGAGGAGACAGACCCUUUCAGCUGCAGCUCCUAAACUCUGAAAUGCUCUUCUGAAACUUCCCUUACUGAUUUUAAGUCACUUUUAAAAACUCAUCUUUGUACUCAGGCUUUUAACUCCAGUGAGCAGAUCUAGUGGACCAGCUUGUUAUUGUUACUGUUAUUUUUUAUGCUUUGUUGCUUUUACUGUUUAACUGUUUUUAUUGUUUCAGUGAUUCUUUUGUUUCUUUUUUUGGAUUUGUUUCAUGAUUUUAUUCGUAUGUAUUUUCUGUCCAACACUUUGGUUGCUCCUGCUUUUAAACGUGCUAUAUAAAUAAUAAAUUGAUUUAAAUCCGCUUAAAGUGAAAGAAAAACCAGGCUCUAAAAUAAAAAGAAAUAGAAAAUUCAAAACAGUUUUCAACACAGAUCAUGGUUCAGAAAUUUCUGAUUCCGUGCAGAUUCUCCAGACACUUGUGUGUUCCCGGUGGUCUUCUAAUUAUGAUUAUACAGUUUUUAGCCAAAACCAAACAAACGCAGCUGUUUUUUUAAAGAAAGACUUUCUGCAGAGCAGCAAGAGUUCAUCAGAAACUCACCUGAAUUGAGGGCAGGACAGUUCGCUAAUUGUCCAGCAUUCCUUUGUUUAAACACUCUCAUGCUAGCAAAUAGCAAGUCACAAGCCUGAGCUAACAUUAGCGCAGCAAAAAAAAAAAACAA